rnacentral:lncRNA from 1 species
UCCUCUCUUAAGAACAUGAGUGAUGAACUCGAAGACUUUUCCUUUAACAAGCCGGAUGUUACAGCCAGCAGCUGGCUGACUCAUUUUGAAUCUCUGCACACAAAACACACAAUAUAUAGGCCCUGAACAGAUUAAUAUCUUACAAAUGCUUGAAACUCUUGAAAUGGAACCCACAAAUAAUUUACUCGAUGUACCUAUUUCAGCAUACGAAAUUAUCAACGCUGCGAGGAAAUUAAAAAACUGCAAAUCCGCGUACUCUGUUAAAAUAAGAAACGAAAUGCUCAAAUGCAGUACAAACAUACUGUUACAAGGAUACAAAAAACUUUUUAACCUCAUACUAGAAACUGGUAGCUUCCCAGAUCAAUGGUGUGAAGGUCUGAUUACGCCAAUCUUUAAGUCUGGUGAUAAAACUAACCCCAACAACUACAGAGGAAUUUGUGUGACAAGCUGUUUGAGCAAAUUCUUCUGUAUUAUCCCUGAUGACCGCCUAAGCAAUUUUAGUUACCAACAAAGCUUUAUAAUACAUCCAUCGCAAAUUGGAUUUCAGUCUGGCCACCGAACUGCAGACCAUAUCUUUACUUUGAAAACACUAUUUUUUUAUUCGUGGAUUUUAAAGAAGCCUUUGACUCUAUUUGGCACGAAGGUGUUUUUUUGAAAUUACUUGAAAAUAAAAUUGAUGGUCAGUUUUGUAUACUAAGCCCCCUUUUUUUCAAUAUUUAUAUUAAUGAAAUAACGACCUUAUUUAAAAACACCAAUUCGGCCCCAUUUACACUGCCUAACGGAACAGAACUGAGCUGUCUUCUUUACGCAGAUGAUCUAAUUAUACUAUCUAAAUCAAAAUUCGGCCUCCAGAAGUGUCUCGAUAAACUCCAUAGCUGGAGUAAGAAGUGCAUGACUAUUGGAGGUAAUUGGUAAACCCAAAUUAUGAUUUUUAAAAAAAGGAAAACAGAAAAAGCAAAACCAAUUUUCACACUAGGAAAUGAAAAGAUAUCCGUUGUACAGGAAUACUGUUACUUAGGCAUAAAGCUUAAUCACAAUGGUAACUUUGCUUUGGCUAUAUAUCAAACAGCUUAGUGAAAAGCCCUACAUGCGCUCUAUAGCAUCAGAAGACGGCUUAACCUACACCAACUUAACCACAAAUUUGCUAUUAAAAUUUUUAACAGCAUAAUAAGCCCCAUUCUUCUGUACAAUGCAGAAGUUUGGGGUGUAUAUAUCAAAAACGAUUUUAACAAUUGGGAUAAACUGCCGAUUGAAAAAGUACACCUAAAAUUCUGUAAGCUCUACUUGGGCGUUGACAGAAAGACGAGUAAUAUUGCCUCAAGAAGCGAACUUGGAGAAUAUCCAUUAAUUAUCAACAUAUUCAAAAGAAUCUUCAAGUACGUCACUAAUCUUAACUUACUUCCUGAAACAACUAUUUCAAAACAAGCUUUCCUCAUAUCAAAAGAUUUAUUUAUUAAAAAGAGCAAUUCUUGCUAUGGGAAAGCAAUGGAUAUAAUGAAAACCUUAAAUUGUAAUAGAGCAAUUCCCGACCUAGAUUCACUCACAACCAAUCUAGUUGAAUCAUGCUUUAAAGAUACUAAAGAAAACUACAAGAGAUUCUGGAGACAUAAACUUGAAAACUCUUCCAAACUUACCUUCUACACAAGCAUAAAGGAAGACUAUGAGCUUGAAACUUAUUUGACUGCCAUAACUAAUUCAAACCAAAGAAAACGUUUAAUACAGCUCCGACUCAGUAAGCAUAAACUAAUGAUUGAACUCGGUAGAUACGAAAAUAUUCCGCGAGAAGACCGAAUAUGCAAGGUCUGCCAGGUAGGAGAAAUUGAAACGGAACAUCACUUCUUAACAUCCUGUGAAGCCUAUAGUAGUCUUCGAUAAAACUUUUUAAAUGACUUGGAAAGUGAUCCCACCAAUGAAACAGAUUUAAACGAACACAGUUUAUCAGUUGAGAUAAUGAAAUCAACUGAUAAAGAAACCGCGUGAUAAAAUUAUAGAAAUUUAUCUCUUUAUGUUUUAAGAAGAGAUCUAAACGCCUUGAAGCUCGGAAUGCUGACAGUCAAUAGGCUAUCUAACUAACUCCCAAACUUCUUCAAUUACAUAUAUACUGUAAAUAGAGUAUUCAUUUGUAAACUAGGUUUGUCGUAUUACCACA